GAGUCCGGGUGAGUAGGAGAAGAUGGCGGAGGCAACGGACGGGUCGCGGUUGCGUGGCGUCGCCCACCACGACCCACUCCACGGGCUCUGAGGCCCGGGGAGCGCCAGUUCCUUGAAGGUCCUCCGUCCUGGAGCAGUAAGAUCCUUGACGUAACUAGAAAUGGCAGGACGGAGUCUCGCUCUGUCACCCAAGCUGGAAUGCCGUGGCGCAAUCUUAGUUCACUGCAACCUCUGCCUCCUCGGUCCAAGCCAUUCUCCUGCCUCAGCCUCCCGAAUAGGCAAAUGAAUAAAAGAACAUCUUUUAUUUACCCGUAUCUGCGACAUUCCUCAUAGUAUGUUUGAAAGCCCAAAUGAUGGAAUCCAAAACAAGUUUAAACUGUGUAGGUGGAAUAGCAAGGAAUGCUGGGAAACAAUGAGAAUUGACAGCCUGAAGUAGUAAGAAAAAGUUCGUUCUAUGUUCAGGAUAUUCUUCAAAGUCCUAAAAAUAAGUGGUGGAAACAAAA
rnacentral:lncRNA from 10 species